rnacentral:rRNA from 1 species
UAGGGAAUUUUGCGCAAUGGGGGAAACCCUGACGCAGCAACACCGCGUGAAUGUUAAGCCCUUCGGGGUGUAAAGUUCUGUCAGUAGGGACGAAUUUUGACUGUACCUACAAAGGAAGCACCGGCUAACUCCGUGCCAGCAGCCGCGGUAAUACGGGGGGUGCAAGCGUUGUCCGGAAUCAUUGGGCGUAAAGCGUUCGUAGGCGGUAUAUCAAGUCUGGUGUUAAAGCCCGGGGCUCAACUCCGGUUCAGCAUCGGAUACUGGUAAACUAGAAUGCGGUAGAGGUAGGCGGAAUUCCCGGUGUAGCGGUGAAAUGCGUAGAGAUCGGGAGGAACACCAGUGGCGAAGGCGGCCUACAGGGCUUUAACUGACGCUGAGGCACGAAAGUGUGGGUAGCAAACA